rnacentral:lncRNA from 1 species
UAUAGAAUCCGGCUACAAUGCUAUCGAUAGCACCAAGCACUUGGUACUACUAAGUUUUCUACCGUUAAAUUUGCCCUUUUGACAAUUUUCAGCCGUUGGAUCAUACUAUCAACCAACCACCCACUCAACCCUAGGGGUAGGGAUGUCAAUGGGUAUGGAUACCCGAAAUUUUAUCCGAAUCCGAACCCGAAUGAAAUGGAUAUAUCCGAUGGAUAUGGAUAUGGAUUUGGAUAUGGAUUUUGAUUGUACCCGACCUGAACCCGAACCCAAAUUUAUUUUGUAUUAUAUAUAAUAUAUAUAUAAAAAUUUGAUGUUAUAUUUGAAUUUGUAUUUUAAAAUUUUAGAUUUAAUAUAAUAUAUUUUGAAAUAUUGAAAAAAGAAAUAAUUGUUUCGGGUUCAAAUUUUCGGGUUCGGGUUCGGGUUUGAGUCUCGGGUUCAGAGUCUGGUUCGGGUUCGGGUUUUUAAAAAU